AAGGGGCAGACCCACGGAGGAGGUGAGGGCCCAGCUCUGGACUCGGCUCCACUUGUGAGCCAUGGUGGACACAGGGCUGCUGCACCCGCCCAGCGGAGACCGAAGAGCUCCUGCCUCACUCCGCUGCAGCACACCUGCAGUGCGCCCUGCAGGAAGCGGCGGCCAGCGCUGUGGCAGUGAUGCAGCCGACCAGGACCAACCCAGCAGAGAACACUGUGGCGUUGUCUGAAGGCUGAAGUCAUCUUGAUUUCCUCCACACCUCUCCAGCAGAGAAGACCUCAGUGGGAUCUUCUUUCUGUUUGUCGGAUCACCCACAGCAGUGGCUUGACUCUCUCCUCUGCAGAAACAUGAACGUGUCUGCAGGCCAGAUCUGGAUCUGAUUCAUAUGCACGGCAAUAUUAUAAAGACGAUACCAAGUCCUAGAAGACACCGGAAGAAGAAAUUGUUGGAGUCUUGAUGCCACUGUAAAGGCAAGAAAACACCCCUGACACCUCAGAGUAGGCCUGAAAGGAUACCACAGUUUUGUUAACUACUGCUUGACGAGCCUCGCAAGAAACACGAGGAGCUCUCCCUGCACAGUUCUGCUCCCAGCUACUGAAGAUCGCUGCACGUCAAAGACCGUAUCAGGCUCAUUCUCAGCAGCAAUCUGGGAGGCGCGUUUCAGUGGCUGUGGCUGAUAGGGAUUGCGUCCAUGCUGAGGACCCGAUAUCUGCUCGUUUGCUGGGAAACAGCACGCACCGUAUCGAGGACACCCCACCACCCAGCUCUCCUCUGAAAGAACGCACGCCUGUUUCCAUGUAGGGAUUCUGUAAUGCCACUGCAGAUCACAGAGCCUGGAGGGAGGGCAAGUGCCCUUUGUUUUCAUGUCCAAAUUUAACUUAGCGGUUGGACAUCUAUACCCAGGAAGAUGCCGUGAUUGGCCAUUUCAAAAAUCUUAUUUAGGGCUGGAAUGAGGGCUUCAUGGUCAAGGUACUUGACUGAAAAGCCUAAUGACCCAGGUUCAAUUCUCCAGUGCCACCUAAAGCCAGACAC